GUGGGGAAUAUUGGACAAUGGGCGAAAGCCUGAUCCAGCCAUGCCGCGUGUGUGAAGAAGGUCUUCGGAUUGUAAAGCACUUUAAGUUGGGAGGAAGGGCAGUAAGUUAAUACCUUGCUGUUUUGACGUUACCGACAGAAUAAGCACCGGCUAACUUCGUGCCAGCAGCCGUGGUAAUACGAAGGGUGCAAGCGUUAAUCGGAAUUACUGGGCGUAAAGCGCGCGUAGGUGGUUUUGUUAGUUGGAGGUGAAAUCCCCGGGCUCAACCUGGGAACUGCCUCCAAAACUGCAUGACUAGAGUACGGUAGAGGGUAGUGGAAUUUCCUGUGUAGCGGUGAAAUGCGUAGAUAUAGGAAGGAACACCAGUGGCGAAGGCGACUACCUGGACUGAUACUGACACUGAGGUGCGAAAGCGUGGGGAGCAAACAGGAUUAGAUACCCGAGUAGUCC
rnacentral:rRNA from 1 species